rnacentral:rRNA from 1 species
UACAGAGGUCUCAAGCGUUGUUCGGAUUCAUUGGGCGUAAAGGGUGUGUAGGCGGCCAGGUAGGUCCGUUGUGAAAACUGGAGGCUUAACCUCCAGCUGUCGAUGGAAACCAUCUGGCUAGAGUCCGGAAGAGGAGAGUGGAAUUCCUGGUGUAGCGGUGAAAUGCGCAGAUAUCAGGAGGAACACCGGUGGCGAAGGCGGUGAUCUGGGCCGGCACUGACGCUGAGGAGCGAAAGCGUGGGUAGCAAACAGG